rnacentral:rRNA from 1 species
UGGGGAAUCUUGCACAAUGGGGGAAACCCUGAUGCAGCGACGCCGCGUGAGCGAUGAAGCCCUUCGGGGUGUAAAGCUCUUUCGGCAGGGAAGAUGAUGACGGUACCUGCAGAAGCAGCUGCGGCUAACUACGUGCCAGCAGCCGCGGUAAUACGUAGGCAGCAAGCGUUGUUCGGAGUUACUGGGCGUAAAGGGUGCGUAGGCGGUUGUUUAAGUUUGGUGUGAAAUCUCCCGGCUCAACUGGGAGGGUGCGCCGAAUACUGAAUGACUAGAGUGCGGGAGAGGAGAGUGGAAUUCCUGGUGUAGCGGUGAAAUGCGUAGAUAUCAGGAGGAACACCGGUGGUGUAGACGGCUCUCUGGACCGUAACUGACGCUGAGGCACGAAAGCGUGGGUAGCAAACAGGAUUAGAUACCCUGGUAGUCCACGCCCUAAACGAUGCAUAUUUGGUGUGGGCAGUUCAGUCUGUCCGUGCCGGAGCUAACG